rnacentral:rRNA from 1 species
GAUCAUGGCCUCAAAUCA